GGGGGGGGCAAAGUCAUCAGCAGAGGGUCGGAAAGGGGGGGGGGGGCCUGAAAGCCCCCCCUGGGGUUCCAUGGAGGGCUGCAGGGGGAUGAAUGGGCUGCUGCCAUCCAAAGGGGGGGCACAGCAAUAAGCAGACAGUCAUGGGGUGUGGGGGGGUCCUUAAAGCCCCCCCUGGGGUCCCAUGGAGGGUGUGUCCCAUGGGGUAAAGGGGGUGCUGCCAUCCAAAGGGGGGGGUGAGGGGGGGUGAGGGUGAGCGUGGGGUGGGUGCAGAGCUGCAGGGGGAGAGGGGUGGCAGAGACCCCCAGCAUGGGGUCAUUAGGCAUAACGAGCUCAUUAACAGCACUGAGGGGGGGCUCUGAGCUCUCCUCCAUCAUUAGAAAUGGGGUCCGGGCUUCCCUUCAGCCCCCCCAAUGGAAACAGGGCCGGGGGGUGACCCCAAGGUGGGCACAGCACCCAAAACAAAAGGGGUCUGGGACCCCCAGCGUGGGGUCAUUAGGCAUAACGAGCUCAUUAACAACACUGAGGGGGCUCUGGGCACUCUUCCAUCAUCGGAAAUGGGGUCCGGGUUUCCCUUCAGCCCCCCAUAAUGGAAGCAGGGCCGGGGGGUGACCCCAAGGUGGGCAUAGAGCCCAGAAGAGCAGUGGGCUGGGACCCCCCAGCGUGGGCUCAUUAGGCAUAACGAGCUCGUUAGAGCAGUGAUGGGGCUCUGGGCUCUCUUCCAUCAUUGGAAAUGGGGUCCGGGCUUCCCUUCAGCCCCCCCAGUGGAAGCAGGGCCGGGGGGUGACCCCAAG
ensembl:lncRNA